rnacentral:tRNA from 1 species
CGGGGCGUGGCGCAGAUGGAAGCGCGCCGCGUUUGGGACGCGGAGGUCGCCGGUUCAAGUCCGGCCGCCCCGA